UGGGGAAUAUUGCACAAUGGGCGCAAGCCUGAUGCAGCCAUGCCGCGUGUAUGAAGAAGGCCUUCGGGUUGUAAAGUACUUUCAGCGGGGAUGAAGGGAGUAAAGUUAAUACCUUUGCUCAUUGACGUUACCCGCAGAAGAAGCACCGGCUAACUCCGUGCCAGCAGCCGCGGUAAUACGGAGGGUGCAAGCGUUAAUCGGAAUUACUGGGCGUAAAGCGCACGCAGGCGGUUUGUUAAGUCAGAUGUGAAAGCCCCGGGCUCAACCUGGGAACUGCAUCUGAUACUGGCAAGCUUGAGUCUCGUAGAGGGGGGUAGAAUUCCAGGUGUAGCGGUGAAAUGCGUAGAGAUCUGGAGGAAUACCGGUGGCGAAGGCGGCCCCCUGGACGAAGACUGACGCUCAGGUGCGAAAGCGUGGGGAGCAAACA
rnacentral:rRNA from 1 species